GGAGUAUGGACCGUGUCUCAGUUCCAUUGUGGCCGUUCACCCUCUCAGGUCGGCUACACAUCUUCGCCUUGGUGGGCCGUUACCUCACCAACUAGCUAAUGUGCCGCAGGUCCAUCUAAGAGUGGUGCAAACGCACCUUUCAAGCGGAGACGAUGCCGUCCCCGUUGUUAUCCGGUAUUAGCCGAACUUUCGUCCGGGUAUCCCAGUCUCAAAGGCAGGUUACCUACGUGUUACUCACCCGUUCGCCGCUCGGGUAUUGCUACCCUCGCUCGACUUGCAUGUAUUAGGCACGCCGCCAGCGUUCAUCCUGAGCCACUGAUCAAACUCU
rnacentral:rRNA from 1 species